CACUCAGUGGUGUAAUUGAAACGCUCCAGCUUGCAAAUCGAUUGCUCCUUUUGAUAUUUAGAGUAGGCUGGCGAUCCCCGUUCGACUCGGGGCUGGGUCA